UAAUGAGAUGAGAGAUGCCUUCCCCUUAGC
rnacentral:piRNA from 1 species